GGGCGGGCGGGGGGUGUCUCCCAGUAAGAUCUCGCGGUGCUGGCGGGGCUCAGCCUCCUUCUCCUCCCUGGCGAGCGGUGACUGUGCAGGGCGGCGCGGGGAGCCAGGCAGCAGCCGGAGGAGGCUGCCCCGAGGACAGCGCGAUCCGCCCGCGCCGGCCGGCAGCAGCCCGCGCCUCGCCCAGCCCCAUGCCCGAGUGGCGCUGAGCCCAGCCCAGCAUGGCCACCACCGCCCCGUGCACCCGCUUCACCGACGACUACCAGCUCUACGAGGAGCUCGGCAAGGGAGCCUUUUCUGUGGUCCGCCGAUGUGUGAAGAAAAAUUCAUCGCAGGAAUAUGCUGCAAAAAUCAUCAACACCAAAAAGCUGUCAGCCAGAGAUCACCAGAAACUGGAACGUGAGGCCCGAAUCUGCCGACUUUUAAAACAUCCAAAUAUUGUGCGGCUCCAUGACAGUAUUUCAGAAGAAGCUUUCCACUACCUCGUCUUUGAUCUGGUCACUGGUGGAGAGCUCUUUGAAGAUAUUGUCGCCAGAGAGUACUACAGUGAAGCUGAUGCUAGCCACUGUAUUCACCAGAUACUGGAGAGCGUGAAUCACAUUCACCAGCAUGAUAUCGUGCACAGGGAUUUGAAGCCUGAGAACUUGCUACUGGCAAGUAAGUGUAAGAGUGCUGCUGUCAAACUGGCCGACUUUGGACUGGCUAUAGAAGUGCAGGGGGAGCAGCAGGCCUGGUUUGGGUUUGCCGGUACUCCAGGCUACCUCUCCCCUGAGGUGUUAAGAAAAGAUCCUUAUGGAAAACCAGUGGACAUAUGGGCAUGCGGAGUGAUCCUGUACAUACUGCUAGUGGGUUACCCUCCCUUUUGGGAUGAAGAUCAGCACAAGCUCUAUCAGCAGAUCAAAGCUGGAGCCUAUGAUUUCCCGUCACCUGAGUGGGACACAGUGACUCCUGAAGCAAAGAAUUUGAUCAAUCAGAUGCUGACGAUAAACCCGGCUAAACGCAUCACGGCUGAUCAAGCACUCAAACACCCAUGGGUCUGUCAACGAUCCACCGUGGCCUCCAUGAUGCACAGACAAGAGACUGUGGAGUGCUUGAGGAAGUUCAAUGCCAGAAGAAAGCUGAAGGGUGCAAUCCUCACAACAAUGCUGGUCUCACGGAACUUUUCCGUUGGCAGGCAGAGCUCCGCCCCUGCUUCGGCCGCCAUGAGUGCUGCCGGCCUGGCUGAGCAAGCUACCAAAAGCCUAUUGAACAAGAAGUCGGAUGGAGUGAAGAAAAGGAAGUCGAGCUCCAGUGUGCAUUUGAUGCCACAGAGCAACAACAAAACCAGUCUAGUAAGCCCAGCAAAAGAAUCUCCCCCAGUGCAGACGUCCAUGGAGCCUCAAACGACUGUUGUCCACAAUGCCACAGAUGGCAUAAAGGGUUCCACAGAGAGCUGUAACACCACCACUGAAGAUGAGGAUCUGAAAGCUCCCCCUCUCUCCACCGGGGAUGGCAGCUCAGUGCUUGAAGGACGGAGGCACAGUGAGAGCAAAACACAGACUGAGUCCAUGCAGUCCCAGCUUUCUCUCUGUUUCUCAGCCACCACGCAGUCUUGUGAGGAGAAGCUUCUUGCCUGGGACAGCCCAGGGCAGACACUGGAGUUAGAGCGUGCUCAGUCGGAGCCUUUGCUAACUCCUGUAGUUCCGUUUGUACUUAACAGUGCAGCGUUGCGCAAACAAGAGAUCAUUAAGAUAACAGAGCAGCUGAUUGAAGCCAUCAACAAUGGAGACUUUGAGGCCUACACGAAGAUCUGUGACCCAGGCCUGACCUCAUUUGAACCCGAAGCACUGGGGAACCUAGUCGAGGGGAUGGACUUCCACAAGUUUUACUUCGAGAACUGUGAGUGGGCAGAUUCCAGCAAUGCCAACAGCCCCCUCCUCCACACCUCUCUGCCCUAUCUUGGGAAAUGGCUGCAGUUCUCUCAGACUGUCCAUGGACACCAGGGUUUAAUGUGGGUGAACUGUGAAGGGUUAUUAAGAUCCAGCACUUUCUCUUCUCCCUCAGUGAGGUUUCUGUUUUCCUCAUUUCUCUUCGCCCUAGGAAUGGGCCUAGUCUGGCACAAAGUAUGUUGUCGGAGUGGGAACCAGUGGUUCAAAGGGACCAAGACACUGGGUUUCCAGUCAGUGUAAAAGGGGAAAGAGACACUAACCCAGCUCAGCUGGAGAGCCCUGCCCAGUCAUAGGGGUGGGAGGGGUACUCUCUGUCACACAUGCCAGGACGUAGCUCUUUGCAGUGUACUGCUCUCAGAAUUUCUCCAAGUUGAGGUCCCACAUCCUUGGUUCAGAUCCCAAACCCCUGGUGAACCCUUUGGUAACUGGGUCAGAGGGGGGACACCUUGUCCGUGUGGCUGGGAAGGCAAACCCAGCAAAUGCCCUUGUGUGGCGUUGUCCUUCCCUUAAAUAACACCCCUGUGGUUUCCUGUCCCGCGUCCAUCCCCAGGAGUCACCACAGUGUGGGGCGAGGGAAGUGAGCUGCUAUCCUGAGCUGCCGCAUGUGGCUGAUCUUGGGGAAAGGGCCCCCUUAGCACACACUGAUCCUUGGCUUGUGAGGUGAAGGGGGCCCGCUCACCUCUUUCUCAUUGUCUGCAUGACAGCCCUGGAGUGCCUGUCACUCACUGUGGCCUGCUGGCACCCAGGGAGGUCCUGGCAAGCCUCAAAGGGCCCUCGCACACGGCUGUGCUGCAGGUAACAUCUGAGAAUGGCCCUGUAAUUGAGGCACUGGCUGCACUGAUGCCUGGAGUGUGGAAUGUGUUCUGUGCAGAGCAAAUGGGAGCUGAAGGGUCAGAUAACCUGAGGGGUGAGGAGGUUGAAUUCGGGGAGCAAGAGAGGUGGUUGGGUUGUGCCUCGGGAGUGUUGGGAGCAGAGAUGCUGUGGCCUAGGAUGCAGGUGGGAGGGGAAGGAAACGGGGACAGUAGAUGUAGUGGUGUGCGAGGCCUUGAUCUUCUCAAUGGGGACAUGAAGCUGAUGGUUUUGCAUGUCCCCCCAGUAUUGUCCAAGAACAGCAAGCCAAUCCACACCACCAUCCUGAACCCCCAUGUCCAUGUCAUUGGCGAAGACGCAGCCUGCAUUGCCUACAUCCGCCUGACUCAAUACAUCGAUGGCCAGGGCCGGCCCCGCACCACGCAGUCUGAAGAGACCCGCGUCUGGCACCGCCGCGAUGGCAAGUGGCUGAAUGUCCACUAUCACUGCUCUGGGGCCCCUGCUGCUCCGCUCCAGUGAAGAUCGAACACAGCAGCUUUUGGAGAUACUCAGCUGGAGGGCAAUAUCUUCUUAGCAAGCAGCUCUGGAGUGCCUGAGUGACAGCGACGGUCAUGUCCGUUUUGACGUUUAAAAAAAAUUACAAAUUACAAACCGGCAGCAGCCAAAUGCACGAAACCCUGCAUGCAUCUGAUGCUCCGGGCACUGCCGCCUUUCUGUUGUUUUCCAUGGAUCCAUCGUGUCUGUUUCUGCUGUACGAAGGUGUUUUUUAAAUCUAAGAGAGACAUGUUGUUUGUAUUAAAAAAUAAAAUAAACCGGAAUAAUGAUAAAUAAAUGACAGACUAUCCAACACCCCCUCCCCCAGGGCUGACGAAAUGGCAUCAACUGGAGCAUCUUUCAGAAACCGAGCGAGGGGGAAAGCAAAAGGGAAGGCGAGAGAGCGCAAGGAGGAGGAAGAGAAGGCAGCUUGAGCAGCGGAUUGCUGAACUCUGCUCCACAAAGGCAAGGUGGAAGCUAACAUUGCAUUCAGGCUGUGCUGUGACUUUAAUCAGUGAGCGGUGGCGAGGAAACACUGGAGGGGCCUGAAUGAAAAAUGGGAGGGAAAGGUGGAGGAAUGACACUUCUCCACUUCCCACUGCCCAGCGGACUGACUUCAGCCCGAGUUUCUUCUUAAGUCUUCAGCGUGGUGCGGAUGCUGCGGAAAGCUGGCUGCUCAGCCGCCAGAGCCCACAGACUUCCUAAAAACAAAACGGGAUGUCGAGUAAAACCAAGGCUGGAAAAGGGGACUAUAAAAAAUGGCUUAAAUAAAAAAUAUAAAUAGGAGCUUGCUCUUGAGAGAUCCUGGUUUUAGAAGUGGCCACCCCCUGGCCAAACACGAAGGUUUGCGGCCUGCUGACAAAAGAAGUGUUAAGAGCAAAGGUUUUAGAGGAAGAGGGUACAUGUAUGGGAUUUCUUUUAUGGCUUUUCUUUUUCUUGUAGCGUAGCUGAGAUCCGCAGUGCUGAAGAACACGUUCCUUAGGAAGCAGAUGAGAAAACUAGUGUUCUGUUCUUUCAUGAAGAUUCACGCAUCCACCUCUAUGUGAUGCAUCAUUAGCUUGUGUUUGAUACUGAAAUAUAUGCACCCAUAGAAUUAAGGGGCUCACCGGCUUCCAGUUUGAUUAUUUUUGUUUGUUUUUUUGUUCUCUGGUAAAAUAGUAGAGGGAGCCAGCAACCCAAGGCAGGUGCGUCUCCCCUCCCCCCCCCCCCCACCUGUUUUGUAAGUGUCAUGUGUCCUGGUGUUUUUUUGGAUAGCUUUUCUGUUUUUUAAUGGUCAUGAUGUAACUCAUAAAACAAUCCGCUCAGAAUCUCAGCAAACUCGUAGAUAGAGGGCUUCAGGGCUCAUGAUACAGAGGGGAAAGGUAGUUACUACAGACCUUCUGAUGCUUGUCCUUUAGGCAAAUUCAUCUUCCUUCCUUUGUUGGGGGAUGCUGUCCGUUUCCUUUAUUUGCUAGAAGGGGAAUGUUGAAUUAUUUUGUUGACUUGUCUGAAUUAAUCCUGGCCCAGAGAAGCAUAAGGCCUUUUUUUUCGUAGAUUCUCUUAGCACUAAGAGGCCCCCUGAUUUCUGUGUCCUGAUCAAGAGGAGGGCAGGGACUUCGUCAUUAUUGUGGGAUAUUGGCAUGAACUUUUAGCUGAAGUCCCUCCAUCUACAAAUCACUAAAUUUGGUCCUGGGGCUUUACAGUAUGUUAUCCCUACACUCCUGAGGGACAGAGUAAACAGUAUAUUAAAAGGAAGGCAACGUUGUAAUGGAUUCUAAGGAAAAAGGAGGGCUAAAUUAUAUCUUGAUCCUUUUUCAGUGGAAUGAUGGGAAGGACCUGUAAGCUGUAGCAUUGAGUGGAGUUACUGCCUUUCUCUGGAACUCCCUCCACUCCCCUUUAAAGGAAAACUCUUAGGUCAAUCCCACACCAUGAUUAGAGCAGCUAAUCCAUGAUGCAGGAAAAGGCCAUUCAUACUUCCCAGGGUUUGUCUGGACAAAUAGUUUUCUUCCUUCCUCCACCAUCCCAACUGCAUGUGUGGGUGUGGUGGGGACUGAGACAGGAGGGAGUGAACACUGUCUCUUAUCAUUUCGGAACAUUUUUAGGAGGGCAGUAAGCUAGUGAGUCAGGCGGAGAGGAAAAGCUUUGAUAUUUUCAGAUUUUUUUUUAAAAAAGUCACACAGAGAGCAAACAGGACAUUACAAUUAUGCAGUUUUUAAAGAGAAAUACAAAAAGUUAUGCAUGCCUUCUUCAGGUCUGAUCUUUCCUUGUCUCUUUACCUAUUGAUUAUUAAUGUUUAAAAAAGACCCUCUGUAUUUAGUAACUGCAUCUUUCAGAGAAAACUUAAAAAAGAAAAUGGUUGGGUUGUUUUGGUUUUGCACAGUCUUGGAGACAAGCUCUCUGUUUGUUCUUUUAAGUUAAUGAGAACCUUAGCUUGGUAUGGCCAUUAUCAGACAUAGCUGUACACCUUUAGCAUUCUUAAUGUUCUCUUACGGGGCUAAUAUAAGCAUCUAUAUAAUAUAUAUUAUAAAUAUCACAUUUUAAACAGGAAAUGGAAGGCGUUUGAUGCAGAAUUUUUGCAUGAUAUAGAAAUAAUUAAAACAAAAUUAGCUAGUGUUUGUUUGGUCUGAAUGUUGGUAGAACCUUCAUAGCUUUGUUACAAUGAAACCUUGAAUUGAAAAUAUUUAAUAAAAUAACAUUUAAACAGGG